CAGACUGCUGGUGCCAACAAUUGUUUGUGAAGAUUGGAGAAAGGGAAAACACACGAAAGCAAAUGAAGACUCCUGGAAACACCUGAGGAACAAAGACUGAAUUGGGGGGAGUGCUGGACUCAGGCUAAAGGGAUUUCUAGCCUGUGUAUGAAAGACCUGGGGAUUCCAAGCUGUAAAGCAAGUGCAGCUUGUCCCUUAAGAAUCUGCAGCCUGCUUGUAUCAUCAGCCAGGGCAUCGGCGUUCCUGAUCUGUCACAGGAAGAGAGAGAUGUGAAUAAAUGCUUUUAUCCAUUGCCUUGCCACAUUUGUAACCGUUGGAAUAAAUAAUGAAUCAUGAGGAAAAGAAAUCGGAGACUGGGACUGCAAUUCACCGUUGUGGAGAUGCCAGGAUUCUGACAGGAAAUGCUGAUGUGUUUCCAUCAUUUCAUGUGAAAAUGCAGGAGGCAUCCAUUUUUUAAAAGUCUGUCGGGAGUUGUUAACAAAGGAUGCAGUACUGUUCCCUGACUGGAUGACUAACUGCAAUAAAGAAGGAGUUGAGGUGGGUGUGAUCAAAUAACUUGUCCUUCACAUCUUUCAGAUGCUAGAUUUAAAAUUAAUUUUCUCCUAUAUCUGCACAUAGUAAUUCAGCAUGGCAUACACACUCAUGGUCCCAGCUGCAAAGGGUAAGCCCAGAUCUUUGUCUGCUUUAUUUAAUUGUCUUUGUGCCAGGGAUCUGGCCAGGGAUUUUGUGUGAUCCUAGCCAUGGAAUCAUAUAGCCUUGACCAUCUUGUUUAACUUGAUCAGUUCUAGGGGCUCUCACCUGUGCUUUUGAGAACAAUCUCUGCUUGUUGAGUUAUUAAGCACUAUACAACAACAUGACCUAGGGUAAUCAAGGACAAUUACAGAAUGUAUAGAUCUAUAAUUUUCUGUCAUCUAUUACUAUUAGUCAUCUAUUCAUACCGUGUAUUGUCAGAAACAAAUUAGUAUUGCAGCAUGGGUGUAUAUACACAAUCUUGGUUGGGAGUGGUGUAGUCAGUUUGGAGAGGAAUAUGAUUCUAUCGUGUUGCAUUUGUUUUUAGAUAGAAUUGCAUAUCUAACAAUAUUCCAUAUCUAAUACACCCUGAUCAUGUCUUUAAGUUUACUGGUCACCAUCUAUCUACCAUGCGUCCCUGUUUGCUGUGCUUGUUGUUACCUAGUAAUUGUGUUCUGUGUUCAGUCCCGGUUUGAAAAUCUACAUAAUAACCUCUGGGUGAAGCUCUGACUAGGGAUCAGGAAAGUGUUGCCUACAUCUCUCCUCAUGUUGAGUUAUUUUCAUUAAUGUUUGGCGGAAUGGAAUAAAAUCGAUUAAUAAUUAGCCAUUGCAAUAAUAUGGUUACUUGAUUCAGAAAAAAACAUUUAUGUAGGUGUUUGAGUGCCAUUCCUGAAUAGGAAAGCUUACCGGAAUCAGGGCCUAUAAUUGUAACUACAGUGCAAUUAGUGUAUUAUAGAGUGUAAUUGAUCCUUUCAGUCAAAUUACUAUUACUAGACAAACGUAAACGGUACUUUCUUUUCAAGACUGCAAGGCCAGACAGAGAAAACGAAUCCUCAUUAUGCCUAAGGGCAUUAAGAAUUGCAGAAUAUAUGUUAAAUGCUUUUGUUAAUGAAGUCUCAGGGCUUGAUUCUCCUCUUACACCACAGUAAAUGAGGAGUAAAUCCAGGUAAAUGAAUGGUUUUCAUGGGUGUUGUGAUGCAUGACCAGAAAGGGUUAAUCAUCCUGCAAGAUAAAUUACUCAAAUUCAACCCUUUAAAGACAUAGGGGGAGAUAAUGUUUGUGUUUUUGUGUAUUUACAUAUAUAUAUUGGUAGAUGUCAACAAUGUAAUCAAACAGUCCCUGUGCAUGCUGUAUUCUGUUAAUUCAGAGAUCAAAAGAACAUCUUAACAUUUCAAUGAAUUGUAAAUAGAGGAUGUCGCUGUAUUCAUUUCUCUUUGAAGUGUAUAGCAAAUCAUCUGCGAAUGGUGGAAAAAGAGGCAAUUGCCUUAUGUUAAUCUGUGAGGAUAAUUACUGGUGAUGCUUAGGAAAUGGGUCCACUUCAAAGUCCCCAUGAGUGCCUAUUGUUCACUGAGGGACUCCGAGCUGUCAAAGGCGGCCUGAAACUGUGUGAAAAAUGGCUUGAGUCCUAAUCCUGUCAUCUCAGAUCUGCUUGAGGCUUCAUGCAGGGGAAGCCUAUGCCAUAAGGACUGAGAUCCCAGUUCUGAUUGGACCACCCUGAAUACAAACAUUGGACUAUUACCUAUAGACUAUUUCUGAAAGAACUCUUUGCAUCCACAAAGCUCAUCAUCUCUGCUAUGAAUCUGAAUCUCAAGAUUGUACCUAUGUCUAUAUGUAUACUGAUC